CUACGGGACGCUCCAGACGAGAAAACUUUGCAAUGUGCGAAAGCACGACAAGGUUAAUCCGAGUGGUUUGUGCUAAACGAACCUUUUGACAGUCCUAGAAACACUGUUGAAUAAGGGGUGGGCAAGUUCUGGUGUCAGCCGCCGCGGUAAAACCAGCACCUCAAGUGGUCAGGAUGAUUAUUGGGCCUAAAGCAUCCGUAGCCGGCUCUGUAAGUUUUCGGUUAAAUCUGUACGCUCAACGUACAGGCUGCCGGGAAUACUGCAGAGCUAGGGAGUGGGAGAGGUAGACGGUACUCGGUAGGAAGGGGUAAAAUCCUUUGAUCUAUUGAUGACCACCUGUGGCGAAGGCGGUCUACCAGAACACGUCCGACGGUGAGGGAUGAAAGCUGGGGGAGCAAACCGGAUUAGAUACCCGGGUAGUC
rnacentral:rRNA from 1 species